CACCAAGGCGACGAUCCCUAGCUGGUCUGAGAGGAUGACCAGCCACACUGGAACUGAGACACGGUCCAGACUCCUACGGGAGGCAGCAG
rnacentral:rRNA from 1 species